AUGGAGAGAUGGGUCAACGUUAACAGCACUGACUGCUCUCGCAGAGGACCAGGCUGGAUUCCAGCACCCGAGUAACAGCUCACAGCUGCCUUUAACUCCAGUUCCAGGGGACCCAAUGCUUCUGGCUUCUUUUGGUUCCAGGUUGUCAGUCUUGGCAGCAACUGCCUCUAUUCAGUGAACCAUCUCAUCUGAGCAUUCCCUAACGCUUGACUAUUGAUGGAAUGUGAUCAGUUGCCUCAAGUUCCCCUGGCUGUGACUUCCCCACUAGGAUGGGCUGCAACUUCAAACGCUCAGGCACAGCCCUGGAAGAGAGAGCUCAGUGCGACACCGCUCAGUAGCCGUUUCCCCUGAUUGAAACACCACCUCCUGGCUGAGAAGAAUAUAAAGCUGGGGGAGUGAACGAAACUCACAAGGCUCAAGGAGUAAACAGAACUGCAAGGCUCCGGAAGCUUUCCCAGCUCAGCAUAUUCACAAGACCCUUCCCCGACCCGAGGAUGGAGGGUGGGGUGGGGGUGGGGAGGGUAGAAAGGCAGUCGUCACUGCUGUGAGAAGAGACUCCAGCCCGCAGAGUUUGCAAGCAAUUUCGAGGGAGUUGUGGUGAAGAAGUAACAAAAUUCUAGGCCUUUAGGAUAAGGCUUGGGAAUG